UACGAAGGGGGCUAGCGUUGCUCGGAAUUACUGGGCGUAAAGCGCACGUAGGCGGCUUCUUAAGUCGGUGGUGAAAUCCUGGAGCUCAACUCCAGAACUGCCUUCGAUACUGGGAAGCUCGAGUCCGGGAGAGGUGAGUGGAACUGCGAGUGUAGAGGUGAAAUUCGUAGAUAUCGUAAGGAAGACCAGUGGCGAAGGCGGGUCUCUGGACAGUUCCUGACGCUGAGGCACGAAGGUCAGGGGAGCAAACGGG
rnacentral:rRNA from 1 species